rnacentral:rRNA from 1 species
ACGACUCUCGGCAACGGAUAUCUCGGCUCACGCAUCGAUGAAGAACGCAGCRAAAUGCGAUACUUGGUGUGAAUUGCAGAAUCCCGUGAACCAUCGAGUUUUUGAACGCAAGUUGCGCCCGAAGCCAUUCGGCCGAGGGCACGUCUGCCUGGGCGUCACA